rnacentral:sRNA from 1 species
GGUGGUCCUGGGGUCCAGCUCUGCAUCACUGAUGUACUACCUAUCCUGGCAAAGAUGCUUCAUGGCCACAAGGCAGAGCCCUUGCAUCUGUGCCACCGGCUGGACAAGGAAACCACAGGCGUAAUGGUGUUGGCUUGGGACAAGGACAUGGCACAUCAAGUCCAAGAGUUGUUUAGAACCCGUCAGGUGGUAAAGAAGUACUGACAGAGUCUUGCUCUGUCGCCCAGGCUGGAGUGCAGUGGCAUGAUCUCGGCUCACUGCAACCUGCACCUCCUGGAUUCAAGUGAUUCUCGUGCCUCAGCCUCCCAAGUAGCUGGGAUUACAGGCGCACGCCACCGUGCCUGGCUGAUUUUUUUUUUUUUUUUUGUAUUUUUAGUAGAGAUGGAGUUUCACCAUGUUGGCCAGGCUGGUCUCGAACUCCUGACCUCAAGUGAUCCACCCGCCUCAGCCUCCCAAAGUUUCGGGAUUACAUGUGUGAGCCACCACACCCGGCCCCUGUGACUUCUUUGGGGCCAUCACUGUGCGUGUCCCCAUGCCCUCAGCAGGAGUUGUGGACAUCCCCAUUGUGGAGAA